rnacentral:lncRNA from 1 species
UGACAUGGUGGACCAAACUUUAUAACAACCAUAUUUGCCGCUGUCAGGCCACAGGCUUCAGUGGCGCCAGCUGUAAUUACGGCUGAUCACCUCUAAUUCAGAGCUGCCUGCCUUGAUAAAGGUGUCACUGGAGCAACUGUGGCAUCAGUGUCGAUCAGGGGUGUCAUGCUCCAGGCAAACUGCUGGAGAAAGCUCUUCCCCUCUCCAGCCCCCAAGGUCAGGAGACUUCUGGGCAACCCUUGCUUUUUAACUUUUCACCCUGAGUUUGGCAAUAGUCCCUAACGCUCUGAUUUAAACUCCAAGGGACUCAGAUGAACAGCCCUGUCCCCUGGCAGCAGAUACCUUUAAUAAACUAAGAAAUCUCUCUGAAAAGAGUUUAGAAGUUGGGAUCUUCUCUGCUUGACAACAUGUAAAGAAACAAAAUGUUUGUAUCACCUAUUUAAUUCACUGAUCGCAAAAAGGGAUGAGAGGCAAUAGGCUUGGGCAAAAGCUACAAAUAUUUUUGG